rnacentral:rRNA from 1 species
UACGAAGGGGGCUAGCGUUGCUCGGAAUUACUGGGCGUAAAGCGCACGUAGGCGGAUCGUUAAGUCGGGGGUGAAAUCCUGGAGCUCAACCUCGGAACUGCCUUCGAUACUGCGGGUCUCGAGUCCGGGAGAGGUGAGUGGAAUUCCUAGUGUAGAGGUGAAAUUCGUAGAUAUUAGGAAGAACACCAGUGGCGAAGGCGGCUCACUGGCCCGGUACUGACGCUGAGGCGCGAAAGCGUGGGGAGCGAACAGG